UACGUAGGGCGCAAGCGUUGUCCGGAAUUAUUGGGCGUAAAGAGCUCGUAGGCGGCCUGUUGCGUCCGCUGUGAAAUCCCGGGGCUCAACCCCGGGCCUGCAGUGGAUACGGGCUGGCUAGAGGCAGGCAGGGGAGAACGGAAUUCCUGGUGUAGCGGUGAAAUGCGCAGAUAUCAGGAGGAACACCCGUGGCGAAGGCGGCUCUCUGGGACGGUACUGACACUGAGACGCGAAAGCGUGGGGAGCGAACAGG
rnacentral:rRNA from 1 species